AGUGAACGCUGGCGGUAGGCCUAACACAUGCAAGUCGAACGGCAGCACAGUAAGAGCUUGCUCUUACGGGUGGCGAGUGGCGGACGGGUGAGGAAUACAUCGGAAUCUACUUUUUCGUGGGGGAUAACGUAGGGAAACUUACGCUAAUACCGCAUACGACCUACGGGUGAAAGCAUGGGAUCUUCGGACCUUGCGCGAUUGAAUGAGUCGAUGUCGGAUUAGCUAGUUGGCGGGGUAAAGGCCCACCAAGGCGACGAUCCGUAGCUGGUCUGAGAGGAUGAUCAGCCACACUGGAACUGAGACACGGUCCAGAUUCCUACGGGAGGCAGCAGUGGGGAAUAUUGGACAAUGGGCGCAAGCCUGAUCCAGCCAUACCGCGUGGGUGAAGAAGGCCUUCGGGUUGUAAAGCCCUUUUGUUGGGAAAGAAAAGCAGCAGGUUAAUACCCCGCUGUUCUGACGGUACCCAAAGAAUAAGCACCGGCUAACUUCGUG
rnacentral:rRNA from 1 species